AUUGAACGCUGGCGGCAUGCCUAACACAUGCAAGUCGAACGAGUGGCGGACGGGCGGGUAAGUUCUGGGCAACUGCCUAAUGGAGGGGGAUAACUACUGGAACCGGUAGCUAAUACCGCAUACCAUCAUAUGUGCCGAGAGGGUAUUAGCUUGUUGGUGGGGUAACGUCUCACCAAGGCGACGAUCCCUAGCUGGUCUGAGAGGGUGAGUGGCCACACUGGGACUGAGACACGGUCCAGACUCCGACGGGAGGCAGCAGUGGGGAAUAGUGGACAAUGGGCGAAAGCCUGACCGAGCCAUGCCGCGUGUGUGAAGAAGGCCUUCGGAUUGUAAAGUUCUUUCGGCGGGGAGGCGUUACCCACAGAGAAAGCACCGGCUAACUCCGUGCCAGCAGCCGCGGUAAUUC
rnacentral:rRNA from 1 species